ACUCAAAUGAAUUGACGGGGACCCGCACAAGCGGUGGAACAUGUGGUUUAAUUCGACGGUAAGCGAGAAACCUCACCAGGGCUUGACAUGAUACUGCAAAUCUUCUGAAAGGAAGACUCCUUCGAGGGUGUAUCACAGGUGCUGCAUGGUUGUCGUCAGCUCGUGCCGUGAGGUGUACCCUUAAGUGGGGUAACGAGCGCAACCCCCAUGCCGUGUUAUUUUUUCACGGCAGACCGCCUCGGAUAACGGGGAGGAAGGUGGGGAUGACGUCAAAUCAGCAUGGCUCUUACGUCCUGGGCGACACACGUGUUACAAUGGAUGGUACAAUGGGCCGCCAAACCGAAAGGUGGAGCAAAUCCCAUCAAAACCAUUCUCAGUUCGGAUUGAGGUCUGCAACUCGACCUCAUGAAGCUGGAAUCGCUAGUAAACGCGCAUCAUAACGGCGCGUUGAAUACGUUCUCGGGUCUUGUACACACCGCCCGU
rnacentral:rRNA from 1 species